UACGUAGGUCCCGAGCGUUGUCCGGAUUUAUUGGGCGUAAAGCGAGCGCAGGCGGUUAGAUAAGUCUGAAGUUAAAGGCUGUGGCUUAACCAUAGUACGCUUUGGAAACUGUUUAACUUGAGUGCAAGAGGGGAGAGUGGAAUUCCAUGUGUAGCGGUGAAAUGCGUAGAUAUAUGGAGGAACACCGGUGGCGAAAGCGGCUCUCUGGUCUGUAACUGACGCUGAGGCUCGAAAGCGUGGGGAGCAAACAGG
rnacentral:rRNA from 1 species